AGAGUUUGAUCCUGGCUCAGAACGAACGCUUGCGGCGUGGAUAAGACAUGCAAGUCGAACGAGAGAAUUGCUAGCUUGCUAAUAAUUCUCUAGUGGCGCACGGGUGAGUAACACGUGAGUAACCUGCCCCCGAGAGCGGGAUAGCCCUGGGAAACUGGGAUUAAUACCGCAUAGUAUCGAAAGAUUAAAGCAGCAAUGCGCUUGGGGAUGGGCUCGCGGCCUAUUAGUUAGUUGGUGAGGUAACGGCUCACCAAGGCGAUGACGGGUAGCCGGUCUGAGAGGAUGUCCGGCCACACUGGAACUGAGACACGGUCCAGACACCUACGGGUGGCAGCAGUCGAGAAUCAUUCACAAUGGGGGAAACCCUGAUGGUGUGACGCCGCGUGGGGGAAUGAAGGUCUUCGGAUUGUAAACCCCUGUCAUGUGGGAGCAAAUUAAAAAGAUAGUACCACAAGAGGAAGAGACGGCUAACUCUGUGCCAGCAGCCGCGGUAAUACAGAGGUCUCAAGCGUUGUUCGGAAUCACUGGGCGUAAAGCGUGCGUAGGCUGUUUCGUAAGUCGUGUGUGAAAGGCGCGGGCUCAACCCGCGGACGGCACAUGAUACUGCGAGACUAGAGUAAUGGAGGGGGAACCGGAAUUCUCGGUGUAGCAGUGAAAUGCGUAGAUAUCGAGAGGAACACUCGUGGCGAAGGCGGGUUCCUGGACAUUAACUGACGCUGAGGCACGAAGGCCAGGGGAGCGAAAGGGAUUAGAUACCCCUGUAGUCCUGGCAGUAAACGGUGCACGCUUGGUGUGCGGGGAAUCGACCCCCUGCGUGCCGGAGCUAACGCGUUAAGCGUGCCGCCUGGGGAGUACGGUCGCAAGAUUAAAACUCAAAGAAAUUGACGGGGACCCGCACAAGCGGUGGAGUAUGUGGCUUAAUUCGAUGCAACGCGUAGAACCUUACCUGGGCUUGACAUGUAAUGAACAACAUGUGAAAGCAUGCGACUCUUCGGAGGCGUUGCACAGGUGCUGCAUGGCCGUCGUCAGCUCGUGUCAUGAGAUGUUUGGUUAAGUCCAGCAACGAGCGCAACCCCUGUUGCCAGUUACCAGCACGUGAAGGUGGGGACUCUGGCGAGACUGCCCAGAUCAACUGGGAGGAAGGUGGGGACGACGUCAGGUCAGUAUGGCCCUUAUGCCCAGGGCUGCACACGUACUACAAUGCCCAGUACAGAGGGGGCCGAAGCCGCGAGGCGGAGGAAAUCCUGAAAACUGGGCCCAGUUCGGACUGUAGGCUGCAACCCGCCUACACGAAGCCGGAAUCGCUAGUAAUGGCGGAUCAGAAUGCCGCGGUGAAUACGUUCCCGGGUCUUGCACACACCGCCCGUCA
rnacentral:rRNA from 1 species